UACGGGGGGGGCAAGCGUUGUUCGGAAUUACUGGGCGUAAAGGGCUCGUAGGCGGCCAACUAAGUCGGAUGUGAAAUCCCCAGGCUUAACCUGGGAACUGCAUCCGAUACUGGAUGGCUUGAAUCCGGGAGAGGGAUGCAGAAUUCCAGGUGUAGCGGUGAAAUGCGUAGAUAUUCGGAAGAACACCAGUGGCGAAGGCGGCUCACUGGACUGGUAUUGACGCUGAGGUGCGAAAGCGUGGGGAGCAAACAGG
rnacentral:rRNA from 1 species